GACGGGGGGGGCAAGUGUUCUUCGGAAUGACUGGGCGUAAAGGGCACGUAGGCGGUGAAUCGGGUUGAAAGUGAAAGUCGCCAAAAAGUGGCGGAAUGCUCUCGAAACCAAUUCACUUGAGUGAGACAGAGGAGAGUGGAAUUUCGUGUGUAGGGGUGAAAUGCGUAGAUAUCAGGAGGAACACCGGUGGUGUAGACGGCUCUCUGGACCGUAACUGACGCUGAGACACGAAUGCGUGGGGAGCGAACAGG
rnacentral:rRNA from 1 species